rnacentral:rRNA from 1 species
UACGUAGGGGGCAAGCGUUGGCCGGAAUCAUUGGGCGUAAAGAGCGUGUAGGCGGCUCGGUAAGUCCGCUGUGAAAGUCCAGGGCUCAACCCUGGAAUGCCGGUGGAAACUGUCGAGCUAGAGUCCGGAAGAGGCGAGUGGAAUUCCUGGUGUAGCGGUGAAAUGCGCAGAUAUCAGGAGGAACACCACUGGCGAAGGCAGCUCGCUGGGACGGUACUGACGCUGAGACGCGAAAGCGUGGGGAGCAAACAGG